rnacentral:rRNA from 1 species
UACGUAGGGUGCGAGCGUGUCCGGAAUUAUUGGGCGUAAAGGGCUCGUAGGCGGUUUGUCGCGUCGGGAGUGAAACUCAGGGCUUAACCCUGAGCCUGCUUCCGAAUACGGGCAGACUAGAGGUAUGCAGGGGAGAACGGAAUUCCUGGUGUAGCGGUGAAAUGCGCAGAUAUCAGGAGGAACACCGGUGGCGAAGGCGGGUCUCUGGGCCGAUACUGACGUGAGGAGCGAAAAGCGUGGGGGAGCGAACAGG